rnacentral:rRNA from 1 species
AGAUUAAGCCAUGCAUGUCUAAGUACAUACAAUAAUACAGUUAAACUGCAAAUGGCUCAUUAAAACAGUUAUAGUUUAUUUGAUAAUAAAAUAUAUUACAUGGAUAACCGUGGUAAUUCUAGAGCUAAUACAUGAGCAAAAUCUCAACUGUUUUAGAAGAGAUGCAUUUAUUAGAUAAAAAACCAGUACAUAUUUUUACAGUAUGAAAGUUGGUGAUUUACAAUAACUUAGCAAAUCGCAAAGUGUAAACAGGCGAUAAAUCAUUCAAGUUUCUGACCUAUCAGCUUUCGACGGUAUGGUAUUGGCUUACCGUGGCAGUGACGGUUAACGGGGGAUUAGGGUUCGAUUCCGGAGAGGGAGCCUGAGAAACGGCUACCACAUCUAAGGAAGGCAGCAGGCGCGCAAAUUACCCAAUUCUAACAGCAUAAGAGAGGUAGUGACAAGAAAUAACAAUACAAGGCAAUUAAAAUGUUUUGUAAUUGGAAUGAUAGAAAUUUAAACACUUUUUAAAGUAUCAAUUGGAGGGCAAGUCUGGUGCCAGCAGCCGCGGUAAUUCCAGCUCCAAUAGCGUAUAUUAAAAUUGUUGCAGUUAAAAAGCUCGUAGUUGAAUUUCUGUUAAAAAUAACCGGUCUGCUUUUUUUAUUAAAAGUGGUAUCAUCUUGGUGUGUUUUUAACAAUAAUAAUGUCCUUUGAAAAUGUUUUUUACUUUAUUGUAAUAUAAGUCAUUGUUUUGAGGAUUUUUACUUUGAGAAAAUUAGAGUGUUUCUAGCAGGCUUUUACGCUUUUGAAUACUGCAGCAUGGAAUAAUAAGAUAGGAUUUUAGUUCUACAUUAUUGGUUUUAAGAACUAAAUUAAUGAUUGAUAGGGAUAGUUGGGGGCAUUUGUAUUUAACUGUUAGAGGUGAAAUUCUUAGAUUUGAUAAAGACAAACUACUGCGAAAGCAUUUGCCAAAGAUGUUUUCAUUAAUCAAGAACGAAAGUUAGGGGAUCGAAGACGAUCAGAUACCGUCGUAGUCUUAACUAUAAACU